rnacentral:rRNA from 1 species
GCCAGACUCCUACGGGAGGCAGCAGUGGGGGAUAUUGCACAAUGGGGGAAACCCUGAUGCAGCGACGCCGCGUGAGUGAAGAAGUAUUUCGGUAUGUAAAGCUCUAUCAGCAGGGAAGAAAAAAGACGGUACCUGACUAAGAAGCCCCGGCUAACUACGUGCCAGCAGCCGCGGUAAUACGUAGGGGGCAAGCGUUAUCCGGAUUUACUGGGUGUAAAGGGAGCGUAGACGGCAAUACAAGUCGGAAGUGAAAUACCCGGGCUCAACCUGGGAACUGCUUUGGAAACUGUAUGGCUGGAGUGCUGGAGAGGUAAGCGGAAUUCCUAGUGUAGCGGUGAAAUGCGUAGAUAUUAGGAGGAACACCAGUGGCGAAGGCGGCUUACUGGACAGUAACUGACGUUGAGGCUCGAAAGCGUGGGGAGCAAACAGGAUUAGAUACCCUUGUAC